GGUUUCCUGGGCAAGGCUAAUCCUCCCAGGGUCAGUCGGGGGCUAAGGCGAGGCCGGGAGGCGUAGCCGACGCGCAGCAGGCAGACAUUCCUGCACCGCGCACGCGGCGCUACGACCGACGGGGCGACGGAUGGGGGUGGCUCGGCGGGGUUCUGGACGUCCCCGUGAUGGAGCGCGGCCCGCGGACCAGGGAAAUCCGGUCCGCACGAGGGCGAGGCUCCGGACGAAGCAUCUGAGCGAAGCGAGUGAGCCCGAGGUCCCUAGAAAAACCCCUAGGCAGGCGCGUGCGCGCCCGUACCGCAAACCGACACAGGUGGGUGGGUAGAACAUACCGAGGCGAUCGGGUCAACCAUGGUCAAGGAACUCGGCACAAUGGCCCCGUAACUUCGGGAGAAGGGGUGCCCGCGCGUACGUGAACGGACUUGCUCCGGGAGCGGAGGCGGGCCGCAGUGGAGAGGCCCAAGCGACUGUUUACCAAAAACACAGGACUCUGCAGAAGCCGCAAGGCGACGUAUAGGGUCUGACGCCUGCCCGGUGCCGGAAGGUCACGCGGAGGAGUUAGCCGCAAGGCGAAGCCCCGAAGCCAAGCCCCGGUAAACGGCGGCCGUAACUAUAACGGUCCUAAGGUAGCGAAAUUCCUUGUCGGGUAAGUUCCGACCUGCACGAAAGGCGCAACGACUUGGGCGCUGUCUCGACCAUGGACCCGGUGAAAUUGCACUGGUCGUGAAGAUGCGACUUACCCGCGGAAGGACGGAAAGACCCCGUGAACCUUCACUGCAGCUUGGCAUUGGCCGCUGGUCCCGCGUGUAGAGGAUAGGCAGGAGGCACAGAUCCGGAGGCGCCAGCCCCCGGGGAGCCGCCCUUGGAAUACUGCCCUCGCGCGACCGGCGUCCUAACCCGAGGCCGUCAACCGGCUCGGGGACCGUGCCAGGCGGGCAGUUUGACUGGGGCGGUCGCCUCCUAAAGGGUAACGGAGGCGCGCGAAGGUCCGCUCGGGACGGUCGGCAACCGUCCUUUUGAAUGCAAGAGUACAAGCGGGCUUGACUGCGAGGCCCACAAGCCGAGCAGGUGCGAAAGCAGGCUCUAGUGAUCCGGCGGCCCCGAGUGGGUGGGCCGUCGCUCAACGGAUAAAAGGUACUCCGGGGAUAACAGGCUGAUCUUGCCCAAGAGUCCACAUCGACGGCAAGGUUUGGCACCUCGAUGUCGGCUCAUCGCAUCCUGGGGCUGGAGCAGGUCCCA
rnacentral:rRNA from 1 species